UGCAGAUGAUGUAAAGAAUAUUUGCUAUCUUAAGAACAUUGAAGACAACUUUUAAUCACCAAGAUCGCUGAUGCA